rnacentral:rRNA from 1 species
CAUGAGUAGCGAUAAAAUGUGUAAAUAUACGGAAGAACACCAGAGGUGUAGGCGGCUCGGUGGGUUUUAACUGACGAUGAGGCAAGAAAGCGUGGGGAGCAAACAGGAUUAGAUACCCUGGUAGUCCACGCCGUAAACGAUGAGUACUAAGUGUCGGGUUAAACCGGUACUGAAGUUAACACAUUAAGUACUCCGCCUGAGUAGUACGUACGCAAGUAUGAAACUUAAAGGAAUUGACGGGACUCCGCACAAGCGGUGGAUCAUGUUGUUUAAUUCGAAGAUACCCGAAAAACCUUACCAGGUCUUGACAUGUUUUUGCAAAAUGAUAGUAAUAUCGUGGAGGUUACCAGAAACACAGGUGGUGCAUGGUUGUCGUCAGCUCGUGUCGUGAGAUGUUAGGUUAAGUCCUAAAACGAGCGAAACCCUUAUCGUUAGUUGCCAGCACGUUAUGGUGGGGACUUUAACGAGACUGCCAAUGAUAAAUUGGAGGAAGGUGAGGAUCACGUCAAAUCAGCAUGCCCCUUAUGACAUGGG